AUUGUAAUUCAUACAAUGUUAAUGCAUUGGAUCCCAUUAGAAAUCCAUAGUUAAGCAUGCUUGGGCUAGAGUAGUACUUGGAUGGGUGACCUGCUAGGAAUUCCUAGUCUUUUGUUCUC
rnacentral:rRNA from 1 species